rnacentral:lncRNA from 1 species
UUUGAAUACAGAUUAUAGACACAUUAUGGAUACAUUAUAGAAUGCCUUAAGAUUUCCUCUUCUCUUUCAAAAGAAAAACUUCUGAAAAUCAACCUUGAUCUUUCAGAAUCAAAAAAUGUAUGCAUUCGUCUCCUAUUUUUAAAAUCUGGUCGUCUUCUUAUUCUACUGAGUUUCAUUCAUUACUGCUGCUUUACUUCAAGCUUUCAGAGACUUAUUUUCUUACUUAUUAGUUUCUGAUGCUAUCAAGGUACUUUCUUAAACAAUGUAAAUAUUUAAAUUUUGUUGUAUCAUGACUAGGAUUUUACUGGUUAUCAAAAAUCUGUGUUCUGUUUGAAUAUUGCAUAUAGUUGUUUGGUUGAGAGUUGUGUAUGAAAACAUAUAGAGUUAAUCAUUUACACUGUUUUAGGCAAUUUAAGUUAUGGUAGCUUUAUGUUAAAGGGUUCUGAAAAAUUAUCAAAUCUGUUUAAAUCUUCAUAUAGCCAUAAGAUCGGUACGUUGGAAUAGUAAAAAAAAAACAAGAAAAGCAUUUUCUAGAAAAUUUGUUAGAUGAGUAAUAGGUAGAUUUGUUAUCACUGCCCGUGUUAGUUCCGUUUUAUAUUAUAUCCUCUCAUGCCUUGCGUUAGUAGUUUUAUUUUACUAUGUCAUUAAACAAUUAAAAUCUAGUAAUUCCAAUGCUAUUAGUUUAAAAUCAUAGAAGAUGGGUCUUACAAGCAACCUAACAGUAAUCAGGGUACGAAUUCAGUCCCAAAUCAAUUGGGUCCAUGAGAUUGUACUCUGGGUCUUUGGCUAAUAAAAUGAGUUGAUUAAAGGUAUUUAUACUUUAAGAUUUUCAAAUGCAAAUGAGUUUUUUUUUAAAAUCUAUCACUUUAACACAUGUUAAUAUAAGAAAUAGGAGACUUAAGCAAUCAAUAGAAAAUUAUCCCAAUUUAAUUUUUGGUUCGUGUCCCCAGACCCCUUUUAGUUUUCUGCUUUAAAAGAUAAACCAAAUAUAGGUAAAAUCUGAUAAUUACUCGUAUAAAUUUCAAACUCAUCCUGGGCCAGAGUCACUUGGACUCAUUAUCAUCAGGCCUAAAUUAUUUUUGAGUAAUUGGUCCGUAAAUGGAUAUUGGGCCAGAGUCAUCCGGACUCAUUAUUAGGCCCAAAUCUUCUUGAAUUAAUUGGGUUUAAAUGAUUGAAUGCUUAAUAACAUUGAGUUGGGCCAGACUCAUUAUCACCAGGCCCAAAUAUCUUUAGUUAAUUUAGAUGUCCAUAAAAAUGAACAUUGGGCCAGAGUCAUUUGGACUCAUCAGCAGGCCCAGAUAUUUCUGAAUUAAAUGUGUUUAAUUGAUUCAUUGCUUAAUAACAUGGUAUUGGGCCAGAGGCAUAUGAACUUCAUGAUCACGAGGCCUAAAUCGUUUGGACUAAAUUCAUUUAGCUUCCUUAAAAUAUGCAUUGGGCCAGAGUCAAUUAGACUCGAGCAUGCCCAAAUUCUUUUGAACUGAAUUUAUUAGCUAGGACCAAAUAUAUAUCUUGGUCUAGAGUUCAUUUGGACUCGGUCCUUAUCAAGGCUCAAACUUUAAAUCUGGGCUUGCUUGACAGAUAGUACAUAGGCUGCCCCCAUCUAAUAUAAACAAACAUAUCACCUAGUAUUGAACCUUUACACUUAGCCAUAUGAAAUAGAGUAUUUAGUUUACAGACAUAAGCAUAACUUAAGGUAUUUAUAAUCAACUUAAUUAUUACAAUUAUGUACAUGCACGCGUGACAUAGUUGUGAUGCCAAAAAACAAACCAAGGUACAUGUUCGUGUGACCAUGGUCAAACAAUCUUAGUAAAUAAAAUGCCUUAAUUAAACACUCGUAGAAAUGCUUUAGGCGCAGAUUUUUACCUACUAUUGUGAUUGUGUACAUGUCCACGUGACGUGAUCCCGAUAUCCAAAAUUAAAUCGAGGUAUGCGUUCGCGCGACUUCGGCCAAACAAUCUUAAAUUAAUAAAGCGCAAUUAAUUGUGUACACGUUCGCGUGACAUGAUUUUAGUGCCCCAAACAAAGCGGACUUACACAUAUGUAAUUUGUUUCAAAGAUUAAAUCCAUAAACGCCAUAAUUAAAAGCGGUAAAAGGUCAAAUGCACAUAGGUUUAAAAAUACGUAAUUAAACAAAAUAUUAAGCCAGGUAUGAUUAAAGCGACCGUGCUAAAACCACGGAAUCCUGAAAUUUCUAACACCUUCUUUCAGGUUAACAGAAUUCCUUACCCGAUCUUCUGAUUGUCGCAGACUUUAAAACAUAGUCAAAUUUCCUCGAUUUGGGAUUUAAAAUAAACCGGUGACUUGGGAGACCAUAAAUUAUUCCAAGUGGCGACUCUGAAAAAUUAAAUAAAUAAUCCCAUUUCGAAUAAUGUUAAUUUAAUUGGAAAAAACUCCCUUAUCCCUUGGGAAAAAGGAGGUGUGACUAGCCUAUCAAUGCGGAAUAAAAAUAGAAAUCUGAAACUUUACAUAAUUACAACUCUCAAAAUCUCGUAGAAAUAAGUCACAAGCUUCUAAGAAUUUAUCUUCAAUGUCUCUAUAUAGCAGCGUCUAAAGAAAAUAAGGAAGCAACAUAACAAGAAUAGAAGGGGACUCCGGAGUCUGCGGAUGCUGGCAGAUAUACCUUGAAGUCUCCAUGCAUAGGUACUCACUGAUGUCUGGACUGGUAAGAAGUACCUGGAUCUGCACAAAAGGAUAUGUAGAAGCGUAGUAUGAGUACACCAUAGUAAUACCUAGUAAGUGCCAAGCCUAACCUCGGUAUAGUAGUGACAAGGUCAGGUCUGGCCCUACUGAAAAAAUAAUAAUAAAUGGCAUGGUAAAAUAUUUCACCAUAUAAUAAAAUAAAAUAACAAUGGAAAUGAAUCAAGUAGUAGGUCACCAUUUAAUUACACAAAUAAUGGCAAAUAAUACCUCGUGGAACAAAACAGAAUUUCUUUUCAACUUUAAGAAAAUUCACAACAAAAAUCAAAGGCAACUACGGCCAUAAAUCAAUAUCAACAAGGGCACUCCCGAGGUACCACCUUAUAGUCCCAAAUCAUCAAUAAAUUCAAAAUAGCUCAUUUCCUUAUGUCACCGCGGGAGC